UCUAAAAUAACUUUGUCAUAUAUAUAAAUCAGUUUAUAAAUAUACUUUCAGUCAAAAAUAUUUUUUUAGAUUGUACCGAAAUAUGUGAAUAUAGAGGGAUGGAAAGACUUGACAGUUAAAUUCAGUUUCUUCAAACAUACAUCAACCGAAGAAUUUUUUGCAUCAUGAGAACGAUUUUUUUGAAGUCAAUUCCAUUUUUACUGCAAUUUUCAUCUACUUCUUCAUGUAGGUCGUUUCCGUGGUUUUUUGUUUCUUGCUGAUGAAUUUUCCAAUGUUGUGCGCUGAUACUGAAAAUGUUGAAACAUUUUUGAACGACACCAAAAAAGUUAUUGCUCCAGGACAGCAUUCAGCAGAGUCGCCUCCAGCCAAAUAUACCGUGGGGGUACCACAGGGCGAAAGAACAGCGUACUUAUUUUUACGUUGGAUGUGAUUUUGUGCUUCUUCAUAUGUACUGCUCAUAUUGCUACCAUUAUCGUAGCCCUGUCCACGGCAGUCUUCCAAACGAAGGUUGUAAUUUUCCAAUGUUUUGCUAAUUAAAGCGGUAAUAGCUUUACCGGUUUUUCGUGAUAAUCUACAAAGGCUAGAAAACGUUCCCAACGUUUAAAUAAAUCUUUGAAUUAAUCAUCUAUCAAAAGCAUUCUAA